rnacentral:rRNA from 1 species
GACGAACGCUGGCGGCGUGCCUAAUACAUGCAAGUCGAACGCAGUGGGGACGGGUGAGUAACACGUGGGUAACCUCCCAUCAGACGGGAUAACAUUUGGAAACAGGUGCUAAACCGAUACUGAUGGAUGGACCCGCGGUGCAUGAGCUAGUUGGUGGGGUAACGGCUCACCAAGGCCACGAUGCAUAGCCGACCGGGUAGGGUGAUCAGCCACACUGGAACUGAGACACGGCCCAGACUCCUACGGGAGGCAGCAGUGGGGAAUCUUCGGCAAUGGACGAAAGUCUGACCGAGCAACGCCGCGUGAAUGAAGAAGGUUUUCGGAUCGUAAAACUCUGUGGUUGGGGAGGCGGUAUCUGACCAGGAAGCCACGGCUAACUCCGUGCCAGCAGCCGCGGUAAUUC